GUUACUGCCUGGACUAAUCCGUCUCUUAUUUGUUUGUUUGCUCAUCAACAGUAAGAGGUCAUGUACACUGUGGUCAACUUUGUGGACGAUGAAGAGGUGUCUGGGUAAAGCUGAUAGAAAUAUAAUGAAGUAACAGUGAAAGCUAAAACAUCAGACUGAUCCAGACACUGAAGAAAUUGAUGUCACUGCAAUCUGGCCAAAAUGAUACAACUAUAUUGAAGUAGCCUACUGUAAUGAAGCUGCAGAACAACACAGAGACUCUUGAGGACAUCAACACAGAAAAUGAAGGCUCCAAAGAGAUGUCUGUCCAGAUGAGGGUGCAUCAACGUUACCUUUGCUGACAAGUAUAUGCUUUACAAUGUAAAACCUAACAGUUAACUUAACUCAAACCAUUUAAGGAAAUCGGUUGCCUUAAC